GAUGAACGCUGGCGGCGUGCCUAAUACAUGCAAGUCGAGCGAACAGAUGAGGAGCUUGCUCCUCUGACGUUAGCGGCGGACGGGUGAGUAACACGUGGAUAACCUACCUAUAAGACUGGGAUAACUUCGGGAAACCGGAGCUAAUACCGGAUAAUAUAUUGAACCGCAUGGUUCAAUAGUGAAAGACGGUUUUGCUGUCACUUAUAGAUGGAUCCGCGCCGCAUUAGCUAGUUGGUAAGGUAACGGCUUACCAAGGCAACGAUGCGUAGCCGACCUGAGAGGGUGAUCGGCCACACUGGAACUGGGACACGGUCCAGACUCCUACGGGAGGCAGCAGUAGGGAAUCUUCCGCAAAGGGCGAAAGCUUGACGGAGCAACGCCGCGUGAGUGAUGAAGGUCUUCGGAUCGUAAAACUCUGUUAUUAGGGAAGAACAAAUGUGUAAGUAACUAUGCACGUCUUGACGGUACCUAAUCAGAAAGCCACGGCUAACUACGUG
rnacentral:rRNA from 1 species